GCUUAAUGAGUACUAAAGUCAGAGUAUUUAGAAAAUUUCAUUAGUCUAGCUUUCUCCCUAGCAAAGACCAGCAGAAUUCCCCCAGAAAACCCUGAAUCAGAUGCCAACAUAUUCUGAUGAAGUCCUGGAUGAUAUGAAAGUUCAGGCAUCCAGGACAGCUACAGAGUGCUGGAAAAACGUUUAAUGGAAACAGAGAUCAUACACACCACCCUCAGCCAUCUUGCAAUGAUAAGCUCACAACCCCACACCCAUCAAUAUUUUAAAGGGAAAACCUCAUGGGAGGAGUUAUUUCCUGAUGUCUUCCCCUGGGCAUUAAUUGAAGUGUGGACAUCUGGGAAAGCUGCAGAGCACAGAUUACCAGGGACAAUUUGUAGAAUGAAAGAAAGAAUAUAAAUCCCUUCAACCACCUCAAAAAUAAGAAAUAAGGAACACCACAGAACUGUAGACAUCUCUUCAAUCAAAUGAAACUACGGAGUCGUCUUUAGGUCCGUAUUGGGUCUUUACCCAAAUGAAAUGCAAACUGGAAGAAGAUUUGAAUGGAAUGCAUGGAAUGCUGGCAUCCCACAUCAACAGGAAGUAUGUGAGAGUGGCUAUAUCACAAAGAAGAAGAUACAUUUUGGCACAUUGCCAAUGUGCUCUUGUGCUAUAGCAUUUUAAAAGUCGGAUUUUAACAAGGAACUGGAAUAUUUGUAGUAUAUAAAAAAUGGAAUUUUAGCAGGAAACCGCAAGACCUGCACCAAUUGCAGCCAAAAGCAAUACAACUGCCCCAAAACUUUUGCAGGUGCAAAUGGUGUUGAAAGCAUGAUUGCUUUUUUUUUUUUUAAGUAAAUUGCUUUAAAAAAAAUUAAAUUGCUUUUUAAAAAAUGUGUUUUUAAAUUUGUAUAUUUGUUUUUAAUGUUUUUAAUUGUUGUAAACUACCCAGAGAGCUUCGGCUAUGGGGCGGUAUACAAAUGCAAUAAAAUAAAUAAAUAAAUAAUACAGCUGUCCCAAUAGCAUCAUGAGCACAAAUCAUGAUGAAUGUUCAAGGAUGUGUGAUGGGUGGAGGAGUCCAUCGAGCAGCACUGCAAAAGGCUCCUCUUUGAGCAAGCAAGCAGAGAAGCAAACAGCCCAGACCCAGUGUUGCCAACAAGAAUAUUUUCCACCAGACUUACACCCCAAAUCCACCAAAAUCUGACCUUAACCCACUAGACACCACAUUUGAUAACAUUUUUUGCAUUAUUGCAAAACACUGUUAUGAAGAAUUACUUAACAAGGUGGAUAACAAAAUUUAAAAGGUUCAAAAAUGCUCUGUGUGCUUUUGUGUUGUAUUUAAGUUUGGAACUGCAGAUAUAAAUAUUUCUGAGAGAAGUAUGGAGGUUUUGCAUUCCUGCCUCUUUUCUUAGGUUUAAAAAAUGUUCUAAGUGUGUAUGUUUGGUUGGUUGGUUGCCUGUGAGAACAGGAUGCUAGACUAGAUGGGCCUUUGCCUGAUCCAGCAGGCUCUUCUAAUGAUGAUUAUAAGAUGUACUGUUUAUACAAAGGGUACCUGUUGUGAAAUCACCUUAUCAGAUACAAAUUGAGGUCCCUCAUUGGUGAGGCAGGUGCACUCUGUGAAUGCUUAUGCCGUUUAUUUCUGAGGCUUAUAUUUCCCAACCAUCAUGUCUCCUCUGCUUAAGUCUGUGGGAAGUCUGGGGUUUGUGAGGAGGAGUUGGUGGUGCUUAGGCUGCAUCAUACUUUGGGUAGAAUAUUGCCUGCACAUUUUCCUUCUCAGUAAGCCAAUUAGCAAGAACCUCCUUGUCAUUAUACCUUUAAAAGCAAGCACACCAGAGGAUAUGAAGGCUUAACUUAAAAAUCUUCCUCUCUGUCACUGGCUCAUUGUGUGGUGUUGAGUACAUUACUCUAGUAUCUUUUCAAUCAAAGGCAUAGCCAUCUAGCCAUGGGUUACAGCAGAAAUGAAUCAAUAGUCAAGUAUAGGGUUGCCGGGUCAGAAGUAUCCCAGACCCUGAGAUUUCAGGGGCAGUCCCUAGUGAUGUCAUGGGGGCAGGUCAUAGUGAUGUCAUGGGGUGGGCUGUAGUGAUGUCACAGGGGCAGGCCAAAAUGAUGUCAUUAAGCAUGAUACAUUAAGCAUCAACCACAGUUGCUAGGAGCAUACAAUUAAAAAAAAUAGUUCUCUGAUUGGAAAUUAAAAUAGAAAUCUUAGCUGAAAGAUAGAGCUGGGUAGGGAACAUUUAAUCUAGCCUACUUGAUUCUGGCAAGAAGGAUUUAAGUGCCCUCAGGCCAGCCCAGUCACCAGAAGGCCAUUGUAGGAAGAAAGGAGCCUUGUGUUGUGGAGAUGUUAGAUAGGAACACACAGGAGUAAAGAUGGAUGCCCCUGAAGAAUGCAAUUCUAAACAGACUUACUAAGUCCCAUAGAACUCAAUAGGAUUUACUUCUGAGUAGAUAUGGUUUAGAUUGUGCAGUUGGCAAAGCUUGACUAGGGAUCCUCUGAAAAGAUAUCCAUAUCCAAGCAGGGUUGGCAACCCCCUGCCUGUAAUGCCCUGCCCAUACCUUUCAACAUGGCUGCUCAAAACUUCUUUACAGACUUGAUCUUUCACUUCCAAAAGAGGUCUGAAAAAUGAAUGAGAGUAAGAAGAUUCUCUGCCUUUUUCUGUCUACCUUGGGCUGCUAUAAACUCACUGACAGCCACUCCAAUUCCAGUGAGUAAUAACUGACACAGAGAAAACACACAUGCUUUUAUCUACCUUCGUAGACAGCAGCUUAGGAACAACAACAAUUUCAGCCACACUUCCCAGUAUGUGAAUUCUUUUUUGCCUAUAUUGGGCAAGAAACAAACCGUCAUGUAACCAACAAGGUGCAUCAUCAGUGAGUUUAAGGGAGUUGAGCUGAGCGCAUGGAACCACUGUUGUUGCUUCUAUGGAUGUAAGGGAGUGAGGGUUAAAGGUAAAUGAAAUGCAAACAGAAAAAUAAAAAUAAAAGACAGUGAUGACUUCCUAAAUCCAAUACCAUACCAACAACAACAAAAUUCCUAUGAGUAAGGCAGAAAACUCAGCAUCCCACAACCAGUCAGGAUUCCUAACCAAAAAACAAAACUAAAAAACUUCUGGAAGCCAGUCAGCCAAGGUCACAGAAAUCCCCAUGCAGCACAGCCUGACUCAGGGGCUGAAGUUAGUGCAGAAUGCUGUGGCACGAUUGCUGACAAGAGUGGGACCCUAUCAGCACAUAAUAUCUCUGCUCCAAAAUCUACACUGGUUGCCGAUUUGCUACCAGGCCAAGUUCAAGAUGUGCUUUCCAUGCUACGUGUGCCACAUAGUACUUGUUCUGCUCUUGUAAGAAAUCAGUCCUUUAGUGUGGCAGUACCUAUGCUUUGGAACUCCUGGACUAUUGAUAUUAGGCGGGCGCCUUAUUGCAGACACCUUCAUUGUACUGUUUUCAGCACUUGCUAAAAACAUUUUUAAGUAAGUCUAUCCCUGCAUGUAGAAACUGUUGUGUUUUAUAUAUAUAUCGAAUGUUUUUAAA